UCUGCUAGCAGCCUUCAGAUGAAGAUGUAGAACUCUCAGCUCUGCCUGAAACAUGCUUGCCUGGAUGUCACCAUGUUCCUGCCGUGAUGAUAAUGGACUGAACCUCUGAAUCUCACUCAGGAGGCUAAACCCUACCUCAACAGCCCUAUGUGGUGAUCUGUGCCUAGAAAAGCAAUGAGUUGAAGACAGAAGUCCCGGGGCAAUUUACUCCAGCAUGAAACCUCAUCUCAAAAUAAAAACACAAAAAUAGGACGGUGGAUACAAUCAUGAAGUGCUCACCUAGCAUGGCAGAAGAGGCCGUGGGUUCAACCCCCAGUACCACAAAAAAAAAAAGGAGUCUCUUGAGAAGCACAGCUUUUCCCAAA